UACGUAGGGUCCAAGCGUUAUCCGGAAUCACUGGGCGUAAAGCGUGCGUAGGUGGCGUGUUAAGUGUGAUGUUAAAUCGCGGGGCUCAACCCUGUCGAUGCAUCGCAUACUGGCAUGCUAGAGGGAAGCAGAGGCAAGUGGAAUUUGUAGUGUAGCAGUGAAAUGCGUAGAUAUUACAAGGAACACCAAUGGCGAAGGCAGCUUGCUGGGCUUCUUCUGACACUGAGGUACGAAAGCGUGGGGAGCGAACAGG
rnacentral:rRNA from 1 species